ensembl:lncRNA
UCCUUGUAAGUUGCUUUGGAUAAAAGCGUCUCCUAAUUGUAAAUGGAGUGUUGUGUCUUAACUGAUAAAUACUGAUGCAAAGAAAAGGACUGAAAUGCUGAAAUUUCAUAAAUAUUUAUUCCAUAUCAAUCAACAAAAAAUGAACUACUUUCACAGCAGUGGUCAACAGCACUUAAUAAAAUAAAACGUUCAAAUAAUAAUCAGAAUAAUUGUUUAGUUUUGUUUGAGGCCACAUUUUGAAACACAAAACAUUUACAAGUAGUACUGUAAGUACUUGGCAUUAAAAACAAUGGCGAUACAAUAUUUUAAGACACUUGGUGUUUUUUGAAGUGUUUUUUUUUCUUUUCUCUUUCGUUUUGAUAAGACCGAGGCUCCGUGACAGUCUAAACAGCACUUACUGACUCACACACGACACCACUGCUAAGAGGACCUCAGAGAAGACAGGGGUGGGUGCAAACAGAACAGGCUGAACAGUCAAACAAAAGAGAGAAAGACAACAGAAGAUAGAAAAAAAAAAAAAAAAAAAAAAGACAAUUUAUAUUUUUUUAUAAUUUGCUUAAUUAACUCUGUGACCAAGAGUCUUCUUCUGCUCAUGCCAGUCACUGCGGGGAUAGAGCUCAUAAAUAACAAGUACAGUUCAUCUGCAAAAAUAUUCCCAUAUUUUUUUUACCUUUUUAAAUCCCGUCCCUUUUUUUCGGACUGCUACUAGUGUUCAAAGAUUUUGUACAAAGAGAGGUGGAAUUGUGAAUGAAUGAUGAACAGAGAGAGAGGAGGAGUGUGAGAAAGGGAGGGAGAAAAAGACACAGACAGAAAGGGGUAGGAGGAGUGGACUAGACAGGUCAAAGAAUAGUUCUGUCUUCUGUCCACAAGAUGGCGCUUCUGUGCCAAACGCCACAGAAAAGAGGACACCUCUAUCCUGUACACACUGCCUUGCAGAUCCAAAGCAAGCAUGCUAACCCUUUAGCUGACAAUACCAAGAGACCCAAACAGCCCUGUAGGCGGUGUGUUCAGUCUAGACAGCUAGCUCUAAACGUGUUUUUGUUUACGGAUAUAAAAGUAUGGCUAAGGCUGAGCAGACGGCCACGUCUGCGUCUCCGUGACGACCUGGCACACUGUCUCCACAAGGCCUGAGGUCCCCACUUUAUCUCCGGUGUCCUUGUCAUGGUCUACUUCAGUGGUUCUCAAACUUUUUGUCCGGGGACCCCAUAAAAUCCAUUUGCCAAGUCUCGCGACCCCCAACACAUUUUGACAGGAUAUUAUAGGUCUAAAUUCAGUUUCAUCUUGAAUGAUGAGACUGCUUGCUGAGAAAAUAUUAGUUUUCAUUAUCCAUCCUGAUGUAGAAAACACCAUUUCUGAUAGACUAUACAGCAUGUCAAAGCCUAAUAUGUUGACGCACAGGGCAGCAAGAUCAUUUCGCGACCCCCAAAAAACGUUUGGCGACCCCACUUGGGAUCCCGACCCCUAGUUUGAGAACCACUGGUCUACUUAACUACGUGAUCAGUAAUCGCAUGUACUUCCCAUGAUAACCAUACUACUAACUACCAUACAUCCCACUAAGCAUCACACUACACUAAAAACCCAAGUUACUCUUGUGAUAGCUGAUGUGCUAACAUGAGAAGUACACUGCACUUAUCAUUCAAUAAUGUAUUAAGUACACAGUACUGAAGGACAAUUCAGCCAAAGUGAGACCAGCCUGUCUCCCUGAGAGGGCUGACCAGACAUCAUCCGCUAGUGUGGAGGUCAAAGGUGAAGGAGGUCAAAGGUGAAGGAGUUCAAAGGUCAAGGAGUUCAAAGGUCAAGGAGUUCGCUAAAGUCUCUCAGCUGAGAGAGGGUUCUAAGUCUAGCGCUAAAUAUCCAGCUCACCAUCUAAUGACUGCACCAAUGUGCAGAGGCAUGCAGGUGUUCGUGUUUGUGAAGCCCUUGGCAGGUGUUUGUUGUGAAGCCUAUGUCAGGUGUUUGUGAAGCCUAUGUCAGGUGUUUGUGAAGUGUUUUUUAAGCCUAUGUCAGGUGUUUGUAAAGUGUUUGUUAAGCUUAUGUCAAGUGUUUGUUAAGCAUAUGUCAGGUGUUUGUGAAGCCUAUGACAGGUGUUUGUGAAGUGUUUGUUAAGCUUAUGUCAGGUGUUUGUGAAGUGUUUGUGAAGCCUACGUCAGGUGUUUGUUAAGCUUAUGUCAGGUGUUUGUGAAGCCUAUGUCAGGUGUUUGUGAAGCCUAUGUCAGGUGUUUGUGAAGCCUAUGUCAAGUGUUUGUUAAGCUUAUGUCAGGUGUUUGUGAAGCCUAUGUCAGGUGUUUGUGAAGCUUAUGUCAGGUGAUUGUAAAGCCUAUGUCUUGACUUGUAGAGGGGCAACGCGUGAGAGUUUCGGGUCACGUUUCAUGUAGAGGUUUGUAGAGGAGCUUGUGUCAUUACACUGACCUGGACAUUGAUUUUUUUUGCUGUUGAUAAAUCCUUUUCUGAAUUAGAAUCAUGAUUUACUGACUGGUAGAAAAUGGGAGUCGGGGUCAACUAGAGGCUGUAAGAAAGUGGCACUUGAGAGACUCACUGGCCCGGACUUCCUGAUACCACACACACCGAUAUAUAGACGCAACACUACAGAAGGUGAUGGAGAGAUGGAGAGAACAAGAAGGAGUGAGAGAGAGAGAGAAAGAGAGAGAGAAAGAGAGAGAGAGAGAGAGAGAGACAGAGAGAGGAUAGUGUCCAAAACAGUGAGACAUGAACAGCAUAGAAACAUCAUACAUUUACAGAUAUUACAUACAUAUAUUUAUAUUUAUAUAUAUAUAUAUAUAUAAAUAUAUAUUAUAUAUAUUUAUAUAUAUAAUAUGUGUGUGUUUUAUAUGUGUAAUAUCAUCUACAAAUACGACCUAUAAAGAUAUAUAUGAUUUUUGUCCACACGUGCGCACCCACCUAUUCAGAUGCUCACAACCCAAUAUGCAUAUAUUAUAUUUUAUUCUCACUUACACAGAAAGUAUCACAUAAUAUACAACAAAUAUAUGUAUUUAUAUAUGUAUUCCUUUAAAAAAAAAAAAAGAGAAAAUAUAAAAAAAAGAUACAACCAAAACAGGACACUCGGGGUUAAAGUCGUGUUUUUUGUCAUCGUGCCUUGGGUGCGUCAAUUUACAUUCAUGUUUGGUCUCCAAGGAAACCGUAAACAUUUACUUCUGUUGUUUGUUUGUUUAUGUUUAUCUUGGCUGAUGUCUGUAAACCAAACCUAUCUAGCCACUGUGAUUGGGGGCCACACUAAGAGGUUGCGGACCUACAGUAUAUGGUGGUGAUAUGGUGAUCACCUUCCCUUAUUCGAGCCUAAAUGCUUGACUGAUUCUCCUCCCCGCUCUCUCUUAGGAAAGGAGAUAAUGGCGACCCACAAUUCCUUGUGGCAGAAACAUCGAACAAUCAGUACGACCCGCGUCAAUAACAUCCGCCGUUGCAUAAUCACGUGGCCUAGAGCAAGUGCAGUGGGAUUCUCCUAGCACUGCGGAUGUCUUUCCCAGGUCCUUGUGAAUUCUCCUUCACAUCUUUCUUUGACCUCUUUGACGUUUUCCAUCAAGGUCAAGGAAAAAUAGUUAGGAAAAGACACAGGAUGUAUUUUUGGACUACCUGACCACAACCUUAGUCCUCCUCACGAGGACUUUUCCUACUCCUGAUAAAGUCUUGGUUCAAACAGAGAGGCACAUUCACGUAUGUCUAUCUUUAAACUUCUCUUUUCUUUAAACUUCUCUUCUCUAUAAACUUAUCUUCUCUUUAAACGUCUCUUCUCUAUAACCUUCACUUCUCUUUAAACUUCUUUUCUCACUAAACCUUCUUUAAACUUCUCUUCUCUAUAACCUUCUCUUCUCUCUAAACUUCUCUUCUCUUUAAACUUCUCCUCAGACUGCUACAAGUCCUUAGGUCUAGUCUGGGUUAGGUUUUAGUCUUAAUCCCUAUCUCAGGUCUGACUGUAUUUAAUAUGGGGACUGGGACACACACGCACACACACACACACACACACACACACACACACACACACACACACACACACACGCACAGAGAGAGAGAGAGAGAGAGAGAUAGAACAUACAUACAAGAACACACACCCAUGCACACAUACACAGAAGCAAACUCACCCACACACACAGACCAACACACACACACACACACACAACGAACACGCACACCACCCGAUUGAUUCUACUGCAUUUGACAUCCCACGACACACACCACAUCCACAUCUGAAGCCAUGAGGCUGCCACAGCGGCUGAUACAGGCAAACAACUGAAAUGAAACGGACAGGAAAUAAACAAACAAACAAAAAUCGCCAAACAACUUGGAGAGAGGGGAUGCCAUGGGAGAGGUGCAUUGUGGGAUUGUCAUCACUUUAGAUCCAGGAUGUCCUCCUCGAAGGAUGUGGCCAAGGGGUUGGUCAGGGGCGGGCUUGACUCCUGUGGCCCAGCCUCUGAGCCGGUGGAGCAGUGAAGCUGGACAUCUGAUUCGCCGUCCACAAGCU